rnacentral:rRNA from 1 species
UACGUAGGGCGCAAGCGUUAUCCGGAAUUAUUGGGCGUAAAGAGCUCGUAGGCGGUUUGUCGCGUCUGCCGUGAAAGUCCGGGGCUCAACUCCGGAUCUGCGGUGGGUACGGGCAGACUAGAGUGAUGUAGGGGAGACUGGAAUUCCUGGUGUAGCGGUGGAAUGCGCAGAUAUCAGGAGGAACACCGGUGGCGAAGGCGGGUCUCUGGGCCAUUACUGACGCUGAGGAGCGAAAGCGUGGGGAGCGAACAGG